UCCAGAGUGAUCUGAAACAUGCGUAUGUGUGUGUGUUUACAGUCGGGCCUGUCGUCUCUAUGACUGACAGCAGAAUAGCUGUUCCCUGUCACCUCCCAUAACAUCACAUUCACUUACAAGUUGGCAUUUGACAGUGGCCAGCGCACACAAACCCAGUGUCAGCCCCAUCUGUAUUCAAUAAAGUGACACUAUACUUACACUCAGAUAGUAUUUUGUGCUGUGUUCUUGUGAUAAAAAUAUGGGUAAAAAGAAAACUGGGUGAAUCACAAGAACACACCCAGAUCGCAUUUCAAACACAAAACUGAAAGCAUAAUUAAAAAUGAACAUUUUCUGUAUGACAAGACAUUUUUUGCUCUUUGAUUUGGGGUGAAAUGUGACCCAAGCCCAUUUGUGACAGUUUUCAUGUAAUUCACCAUGUUAAUCUGUGGAAACUUAAAACAAAAGUGUGUAUGUGUGUGUGUAUUCUUCCUCUAAAUAAACUCUUACUUCCCCAGUUAAACACAUACACAAACACACUUUACCAGACAAUCUGUUUUGUGUCAAUACAACAUCACCGUAGGCAUUCACCCCACCCCAACACGCACAGUCACGCUCUGUCCCUGUGGAGUGGAGGGGGAAUCCCUGUCAGGUCAGUCUGAGCCAAUCCCAACAAAACAAACAGAUGAUGUCACCACUAGCGCUCGGCCCGGUGUGGGCGAUCCUGUUCUGCCUUGCACCAUCCCACACAAUCAGUCUUUCACCAAUGCCCUUCUUGGACGUCUCUCCCUCGCUUUCUCUUCCUCUCGGGCAGGUUUAACUCUCUAAGCCCUGAGCCGAUCUGUUUGCAGGGAUUUCUGAUGACUGGAACGCAACUGGGAUUUCAAUGAAUCGCUCCACCAAUCACAUUCCUCACAUAUACACGCGCAGAAUCGUGGGACAGGACGAUGAAGGUAUCUCAGGAGUCAGGAGGUAAAGCUAACAUUGGAUUUGGACGUUGACGCACUCCUGCCUUGGAAAGCUGCCUCCGAAGGCAGCAUUUUAGAGAUUGGAAGACUGCUCCCCUAAAAUAUGGAGUUGGACAUGUUUUGUGAGAUGCACUCAGGAAUCUUCAGAUCAAAAGAAACCCCCUUAAAAAAUGCACUUUGCUCAAUACGAACAUUUUUCGCAGUCAUUUUGGAGUCUUUGUGAUUGGUAUUCUGUGUUUGACAGCACUGCCAAAACUCACGACGCCUGCCAAGGGAAAUAAGUGUCACUUCCAAUCAGCGCACCGUUUGGAAACGGACGCAGCCUAAUCCAAAUCUAAACAAUUAAGAUAACAAGAUUGCAGUUUGUCAUUUGUUUUUGUAAAAGGACUUAGUCCUGAUUGUUCUGGAAACUUUUUGUAUACCUGUUUAAUGUAUUUCUUUCUAUGUACUAAUAGUAUACAGAAAGACUUUAAAAACACCAUCAUAAUAAUAUUAUCUAAAAAAAGUAUCUUCAUUUUAUGAACAUUUGUAUGCGUCAAUAAAUACUCAAUAGUCCACACUAAUGUCACCUCUCAGUUAUUUCAGCUACAUGUGAAUAGGUUUAAACGUGUGAAAACAAACAAACAGACUUAGGAAAUCCCCAGUGCUCUACUUUAAUAAGCUGCUAAUGUAUUUAUAUAGGGGAAAUUUUGGCAGUGUAACCAAAGCCCCUCAUUGGUUAGUUCAAAACCUGUUAAACCGUCACAACUGUGAACCGACGCCUUUAAUGUUGCUAAAGCAAAAUGAGCAAGCGUGGACCCAGAUUAACACAUAUGCAGCUGUGAACACAUGAGUUUAAUAACAACUUGGGUUGUGCAUUAAUGCACCUGUUUUACACUCCGAGUAAAUCGCUCUCUCACACACUUACACAGAAUCCAGAUUCAAGGGUCUGUUUGCAUAUGAAUCUGACAGCGAUCUGAAUGUGAUGAAAGGAGUUUGAAUAAUGAUGAAAAGAAAAGGGCUCACUGGAGGCACAGAAGUCUUCUCCUUUCAGUGCGAAAGAACCGACGAGUCCCUCUCGAAUGCAGCUGUCAUCGCCACUGUAUCGCACAGACACAAAAGCACAUUCAGUACUGUCCUUUAUGUCUCGGAGGUCUCGCACUUCCAGCAAUGCUAAAGAAUCCAGCUCUCAUCAAAAAUGUAUAUUACCGUAUGAAAAGG